AAGGUCAUCACCCUCCAGGCUUGGGUUCUAGAAGGCGGGGUAGCACAGUGUCAACAAUGCUCAGGAGGACCUAGCUUGGAACUCUACCUCAUUCACAUGCCAACUGUGUGAUCCUGGCAAGUUACUCCACCCCUUUUCCUCCUUUGUAAAAUGGGGAUAAGAAGAAGCCAACCCCAGAGGGCUGUAAUGAGGACCCCAUGAAACAAGCUUGUCACUCUGCAGCCAUCGAGGGAGAGGAUUAAUUUGAUUCACCAUCCAAGGAGAUUAAUGGGUCCAGUUGGAUUCCAGAGUUCAGAAGGAUAAUGGUCUCUCUCAGCCUAUCAGCCAAUGUCCAUGGUUGGCCUCUGGUAGGAGGCUCUGUCACCUUCCAUCUGCCAUCGUGGGAUGUCAGUGGCCUGCCAAUAGGAGAUGGGGGUGAGGGUCAGGAACAGGAGAGCCCCCCAAGAAAGUGCCCAGCAAAAGGGUGGCCGUCUCUGAUAUCUAGUCCUUCCCAGCCCCAGGAAGUAGAGAAGCCUUUUCUUCAACCAAAUGACAGGAGAAAUAGUUGGCAACCAUCAUCGUCCAAACCCAAGAAAAUCUAUUUGAACACCUCUCGUACUCAGAACACAACAAGCUGAAAACCACCAUUCUAGCUCGGUGUGCCCCUGAAUGCUUUCUCAUCCAGGGUCAGAUACCCGGAAGGGACAUGGCAAUAUCCUGGGAUCCCUGACCAAGGAGUCCAGCUCUGCCAAGUCAAAUAAUCACUGUGUGAUGGUAACCUCAGAAUCCAGCCUGCCCGCCAGGCGACGGAGAUUCAAUCCCUGCACUUUUCACAGGGCUCCGGAAUCAACUGAAAAGGGAGCUGUUUAGGGAAGAGGAAUUCAGGCCAACGUAGCCUUUACUAUGUGGCCGCUAUGAACCAGGCAUCACACCACACCAAGACAGAAACCAAAAGUAGUUUCUCAAGGACCUUCCAUUCCACUGAGAAAAGUAAAGAGAGCUUUCCCUCUGUACCAAGAGAGGCAGCCGAAAGCAGCAUCUAAAGAACUGGCCUCAACACAGGAACACGCGAGUUCAAGUCCUCCCUCCAAGACGUACUAGCUGUGUGACCCGGGGCAAGUCCCCCCAGUUCCGUGUCCCAGCCCAUUCUCCGAAAUCCCGAGUCCUGGAGAAGGUGCUGGCUGGUUUCAGAAGGAGUUUCCUCAGCGGGGACUCUGCUCCGCGCCUAGUCCUGUCCUCUUCUUUACCAGACACUGGGUUUAGUCAUGAGAGUCCUGACCCUCAAGGAGAAUGACAAGGGGGACAGCAUCGGGUCUGAGAAGUCCCGGGGAUGGGAGAGCAAUGUUAGGACGAGGAGCCCUGGGAACGUUUGUUUGAUGGCAGGAUGGCUUGUUUUACUGUGGUAACAGUUAUCCAGAGCUCACUCAGGGCUGAAGCAUGGCCAGAAGAGAUCUAUGGAACAAGCAGGUCUCUUUCUUUAUCAAUCCCUCUGGAAGUCUCUUCAGAGCCCCGGGGACUUGUUUGUCACUGAGAUGGUCAAAUAGGGUCUACCCUUCCCAGUAUGUCCUCUCCCCCCGGAUCUGUCCCAGCAGACGUCGCCUUGCCUACUUGAUAUUUCUUUACAAUGUUUUAAAUCCCAUUAUAAUCAAUUGUGUUCAACAGAAUGUU